rnacentral:rRNA from 1 species
CGGCGGACGGGUGAGUAACACGUGGAUAACCCACCUAUAAGACUGGGAUAACUUCGGGAAACCGGAGCUAAUACCGGAUAAUAUUUUGAACCGCAUGGUUCAAAAGUGAAAGACGGUCUUGCUGUCACUUAUAGAUGGAUCCGCGCUGCAUUAGCUAGUUGGUAAGGUAACGGCUUACCAAGGCAACGAUGCAUAGCCGACCUGAGAGGGUGAUCGGCCACACUGGAACUGAGACACGGUCCAG